rnacentral:lncRNA from 1 species
CGACGUUUGGGUCUAUCAGCUGCUGUGGAACGACGUUUGGGUCUAUCAGCUGCUGUGGAACGACGUUUGGGCCUAUCAGACGCUGUGGAACGACGUUUGGGUCUAUCAGCUGCUGUGGAACAGUACUGCGUUCCGGCCUUCUGUUGUUGUUUCCUCGAUAGUUGCUGCUACCUGCUAUUUCUCUGUUGUGGUUGGUAGGUUGCUUUUGUUUUUCCAGGUUUUUUCUAUGGAGACUGAAAGCUCAAAGACCUAUUUAUCUCUGCACUCCCCUUUCUCUUUGGAUGCAUGGCCAACGCCGCUGCCGCCAUGCAUAUGGUAAACAUAGCGUUUGCCAAGUGUCUCAAAGCAAAGGAAGGCUUUAGUGCCUAUGAACAGAAAGAGAGGAGAGAGCGAGAUGGAGCAAGAGAGCGAGGGAGACAGACAGAGAGAAGUAGAGAGAAAAGAGAGAGAAGCGGCUGGCGGGGGAAUGGGUAAGAGUUUGUUUUGUGUUCUACGGAUGAAGAUUACAGGUUGCAUGCCAGCUCUCUGGAAGCACUCAAACAUAUGCAGUGGAUACAAAGCACUCAGAUGGGUAAAGGCACAAAGAAGCAAAGUCUUUAACACAAAAAACAUCAGAGCUCAGUCUGACAAGGCACAGGAAGAAUGCAGGUGGUCCAUGGACCACAACCAGAAGUCAAGGUCUUCGAUGGAGUCGAGCCUCUCAUAGAGAAUGAAUACACUUACAGGUACAUUUUUCCAGGUGUUGCAGAGGCUUGGGGAGGAAAAGGUGUAUAUGUGCUGUUGUCUAGAAUCGGCCCAUAUCAAAUCUUUUAUCAGGAUCUCCACAGAACUGGUCCAAAUAUGGAGCUGGAAAGUGAGACCAUCAAUGCCUACAUGUUCCAUCUGGUGCAGAAUUUUAAUAGGCAGUCAACCGAGCAAACCUUCUACAUUGACACCUUUGAAAUUACUGGCAUUUGGGGGAGCAAGAAAUCAAAACUUACGAUUGAUCCAAUGAUGUACAAGUACAUUAUUGGCAUCAUCAAUGAACACAACCACUGGACUGUGACGGUUAUGCUGCCAUCCAAAAAGAGGGCUCUGUUCCUCGACCCAAUGUGGGAAAAGUUCCAGAAAGAUAAAUAGAUGCCUGGGGGUGACAAGAUCAUUCCUGAGAGAGAAGGGGUGUAAUAUCUCCAGAUGGGCGUGUGGUACCCUUCCUCACCCAUGCCAACAAGAUGUUACUUCUUGUGGGGUCUUUGCCUUGAAAUUUGCUGAAUGUGUUCUGAAGGAGAAGUCGAUUGUCUUUUCAAAUACGGACAAAGAUGAUAACAUCAUGAGAGAAGAAAUAGCAGUCACUCUCCUCCAAAACACUGAUGACCUGAGCCAACUGUACCACUUCUGUGGGGAGGUGGACAAUAAUGAGGAAGACACUAACUGGAUUUCUUGUGACCGCUGCCCACGAUGGUUCCACCAGUCCUGUAUGAAAACCAUCCCAUCAUUGGAG